GUGUUGUAUGAAAGGAGAGAAGGUUAGCACUUCCCUUGACAAGGAUGGAAGAGGCUGCGGCCUGCAACACACAUACGGUUAAGGCAUUGUCACCUGCUUUGUGGCAUCUAACCGUCGUUUUUA
ensembl:snRNA